UGAUGAAAAUAAAGUGGGCAGUAAUCGCAUGCAAUUAAUGGCGCUUUCCUGCAACUACGUCCGCAUUCGAAGCAUAGACGAGCUGAUAAUUUCAAAUAAUACAAAUGUGAAGAAUUGUAAGAGCAAAAAGCAACAAUUACCAUUGCUGUUUGAUGAACUCUGUUGCUUCCCUCUUCUACCAGAUACAUAAUCUACUUUGUUACUUCCAGGAAAUAUUAUUGGCAACUGUAACUCUUUCGGAAGCUCAAAUUCACGAGGAUUAACUAAAGAGGCUGCUAAAGCUAAGAUUUCUAAUGCAGACUUUUUCUUCUUUUUAUCAUUUCCUUUAUUUCCUAAAAUUUCUCUUUUCGUUGCACAUCGACAGGCAUAACACAACCAUUCACCAUUAGGUAUAUCUGUUGGAUCCACCGGCGGAUAGCUACAUGAAAAAACAAUUAUAAAUAGAUAAUAAUACAAGAUCUCUAAUGAAAUUAAUAGAAAGGACAAAUUAUAAUGUUCAUUUGAUAAUGCAGAAUAAAUUUUUCAAACUUUUAUUACAAAUACAUGUCUGAGGAUAGUCUUAUAUCAUUAGUUUGUUUUUUUACAAAGCAUGCUCUUCGUUCAAUAAUUUGAUAGUGAAUUUAAAAGCAUGAAAUACAUUAUUUUAAAUACAUUUAUACAAUCGCGUGAAUCAAAGACCUAUUAUUUAUCAUUGACUCACUGGCAUUGUAAGUGGUAAGAUGCUGGACAUUUGUCGCAACAUAUUAGUUCACCUCCAUCUCUACACGCAUCGCAAAAAUCAUGAUUAUGGCCACGACCUCGUCUUUUAAAAUAAGGAUGUUUCUUUUCCUCCUUUUCCCUUUUAGAUUUAGCUGAUUUAGAGUCUUCUGAUACUGGCGGAGCUAUGAGUGCUUGAAUUUGCUGGAAAUACAAAUGAAAUAAAAAGAAUAAAAGAUAAGAAAUACAUGUUUGUUAUAAUCUAAUGUUAUAAUCUAAUUGUUGAAAAUAUACAAUUUACUUAUUAAUGGA
rnacentral:lncRNA from 1 species